rnacentral:lncRNA from 1 species
CCCUGACAAGAGGCUGGGGAGAUGGGGGGGNNNNNNNNNNNNNNNNNNNNNNNNNNNNNNNNNNNNNNNNNNNNNNNNNNNNNNNNNNNCCUCUCAUUAAAACGGAUUAAUUUAUUAUUUUUUGGGCGUUGCUUUGUCCCUCGGGAAGAGCCGGUGGCCGUGACCCCCCCUCCCCAAGCGCCCCCCCCUGAGUUACAGCCGCGCCGCCCCCGGCACGGCACCGAAACACUUAAAAAAACCCAAAAAACACCCCUAAAAAAACCCCAAAACCCCCACUGCGGCCGGGAUGGGGGGAAGGAUUCCCCAAAACCUCCAUCCCAGUUGCAUUUGGGAGAUGGGGAUCCCCCAAAACCUCCAUCCCAGUUGGGUUUGGGGGAUAAAGGGGGACCCCUUCCCAGUUCAGGGCUGGGUGAGCUGGAUGCCGAAGACGUCGGGGUGGCGGUGCCGGUGGAGACAGGUGGCUUCGGAAGACCCUUCGGCGUCGCGCACGUUGUACUCCCCCUUCUUACACGCCGUGGUCUUCAGGUAGUAACCCCCGGCGGCCACCAAACCCACUGCUGUCACGGCCCCCAAGGAGCCCAAUGAGGCCACCAGGGCCAACCGACUCUCUGUGGGGCCAGAAGGUGCUGGUGACACCAUGGUGGUGGCCACGGCCCCCAAGGAGCCCAACGAGGCCACCAGGGUCAACCUAGACUAUAUUGGGCCAGAAGGUGCCGGUGACACCACGGUGGUGGCCACGGCCCUGAAGGAGCCCAACGAGGCCACCAGGGCCAACCCACUCUCUGUUGGGCCAGAAGGUGCCGGUGACACCACGGUGGUGGCCACGGCCCCCAAGGAGCCCAGCGAGGCCACCAGGGCCAACCCACUCUCUGUUGGGCCAGAAGGUGCCGGUGACACCACGGUGGUGGCCACGGCCCCCAAGGAGCCCAACGAGGCCACCAGGGCCAGAAGGUGCCGGUGACACCACAGUGGUGGCCACGGCCCCCAAGGAGCCCAACGAGGCCACCAGGGCCAACCGACUCUCUGUGGGGCCAGAAGGUGCCGGUGACACCACGGUGGUGGCCACGGCCCCCAAGGAGCCCAACGAGGCCACCAGGGCCAGAAGGUGCCGGUGCCACCACAGUGGUGGCCACGGCCCCCAAGGAGCCCAACGAGGCCACCAGGCCCAACCGACUCUCUUUUGGGCCAGAAGGUGCUGGUGACACCACGGUGGUGGCCACGACCGCCCCCCAACUUCAUUUUACCACCAACCCCCCCAUCCCCUCCUUCCAUAUUCUCCAUCCUUGGAUAUCUCACCGUCCACGUGGACCACCACGCUGCCGGCUCGCCGGCCGUGCCUGUUGGUGGCCGUGCAGGUGUAGAGGCCCCGGUUGACGGCGGCGGCGCCGGCCACGGCCACCGAGCGGUUGUCGGGGGCCAGGCGGAGGUUGGGGGCGGGG